rnacentral:lncRNA from 1 species
AGAGUAGUUUUAGCCCUUGCCGUGAGUAGAAGUAAAGAGAAGCUGUUGUAAUAGGAGUAGCCCUUGCCCCAAGAAGAAGCUGCUGGGGAAGAGAGAUGUAAAAGAAAAAGCCCGAAGGUGGUAGCGUUCUGAGGAGAAUGGAGUGCAGUCCUAACAAGAAGCGGCAGAACUGGGCAGAAGACAUAUGGAGUGUGCGGCAGAGCAGGACAGCCAUGCACCAAGACACUAGGGAAUCCAAGAGGAG